rnacentral:rRNA from 1 species
GACGAACGCUGGCGGCGUGCUUAACACAUGCAAGUCGAACGAAGAGCGAUGGAAGCUUGCUUCUAUCAAUCUUAGUGGCGAACGGGUGAGUAACGCGUAAUCAACCUGCCCUUCAGAGGGGGACAACAGUUGGAAACGACUGCUAAUGCCGCAUACGAUCUGACCUCGGCAUCGAGGAUAGAUGAAAGGUGGCCUCUAUUUAUAAGCUAUCACUGAAGGAGGGGAUUGCGUCUGAUUAGCUAGUUGGAGGGGUAACGGCCCACCAAGGCGAUGAUCAGUAGCCGGUCUGAGAGGAUGGACGGCCACAUUGGGACUGAGACACGGCCCAGACUCCUACGGGAGGCAGCAGUGGGGAAUCUUCCGCAAUGGACGAGAGUCUGACGGAGCAACGCCGCGUGAGUGAUGACGGCCGUCGGGUUGUAAAGCUCUGUUAAUCGGGACGAAAGGCCUUCUUGCGAAUAGUUAGAAGGAUUGACGGUACCGGAAAAGAAAGCCACGGCUAACUACGUG